rnacentral:lncRNA from 1 species
AGCUGGAGUCAGGUAAGCAGAGGAGGAUGUGGGGCUUUCCCACCCGCAGCCUGGAAGCCCGUGUGUGCAGGGCAGGGCUGCCUCCCACGGCAGGGGCAGGCAGAGGCCUCUGCGCCAGGUACAGCCUAGGUACCGCCUACCCCCAUGGCUGACCCUGGGCCCCAAAUCCAGCGGGAGGCCUGGGAGCAUCUUCUCCGCCUGAGUCACCGGGCUGGGCCCAGGACCCCAGCCAAGGGCUUUGCCUCUGGGAAGAAAAGAGCUUUGGAGUCCAGCAAAACCUGGGAAGCAGGGGGAAGCUUCCCUAGCAGGUGCUAUUUGAGCAGAGGCCUGGAGGAGGUGAGGAAGUGAGCAGCGGGCCGUGUGGGGUAAUGGGUGCUCCAGGAAACCAGAACGGCAGAUGCGAGGUUCUGAGGUGGAGCCUGGAGUGUCGGAGCAACAACAAGGAGACUGUCGUAGGGAUGAGGCCUUGGGGAGGAGGAACAGAGAGCAGAGAGGACCUGGGGCAUGUCCCACAGUGGAUGAGCCACGGGAAGGACUUUGGCUUUUCCUCUAAGCAAGGUGAGAGCUGUGGGAAGUUUCCAGGCAGAGAAGGGACGAGAUCUGACUUAGAUUCUCACGGGAUCUCUCUGGCUGCAUGUGGGGAAUGGAUUGGAGGUGGAGGAUUCAGGACAGAAGCCAGGAAACCAGGGAGGAGGAGACCACAAUAGUCCAGGUAAGCCAUGCAGGGUCUGGACCAGGGUGGGGACCGUGGAGGUGAGAGAAGAGGUGGAAUUCUGGGAGUUCCUCUGCACGUCAGCCAACCCGCCCUUCUUGGGUGCCUACUGUGUGUGAGUUCUGUACAGCAACAUGAUACAGAGAUCACAAAGGCUGAGCCCUUGCCCACAGUGUAGGAGACAGGAGGAAAAGGAAUGCAACUGUGAUGUGAUCAGUGUCAGACUGAAGUGUGAAUGAAGGGCAGCUACAUCUCCCCAGGUUCUGUCCUAAAACUUUCUAUGUAGGAGCUCAACCUAGUGAGAUAAGAGCUAUCAUAAGCCCCCAUUUUCCAGAUAAGGAAACUGAGGCCCUCUUAGUCAAACAAUAUGUCUAAGUUAAGAGACUCCUCCCACUAGUAAGUGGCAAGACUGGGAUUCACAACCGGGUCUGAAGGGCUGCAGGACUGACCCCGCCUGACCACCUGUGUAAUCAGGAAGGGCUUCCCGUAGAGGUGAGGCUUGAGCUGGGUUCCCAGGGAUGCAUAGGAUUCCGUCAGUGAGCAGAGGGCCUUCCAGGCCUGAGCAAGGUAUAAGCCAAUGUGUGUUCAAGACACACAAGCCCCACGUGGAGUUUCUCCCUCCCCUUGGCAUCACAGGGAGGACGAAAGGGAGCUGGAAAGCCUCACCUACAGUGUUAACUGAUGGAAUUUCACGCCGGGUCCCUGUACCUUGCAGCUACCUCUGGCCCCAUCCAUGGUCCCAGGCUCACGAUGGGUGAGAAUCAUCCCCUUAGCCACUGUCUCCCACACGUCACUUAAAAGCCAUCUUUAAAGCCAUUCAUACCUUUUCUUAAGUAAAUUGAUUUUUUGGUUUACUCCACUGGUUUUUUAAAAAAAUAACUUACUGAGACGAAGUUCACAUAGCAUCAUAUUAAGCAUUUUAAAGUGAACAUUUCGGUGGCAUUUUUGCAUUGUGUUCUGCAACCAUCACCUCUAGCUAAUCACAAAACAUUUUCAUCACCCCAAAAGGAGACCCUGUGACCAUAAAGCAGCCGCUCCCCAUUCCCCUAACAACCACCAUUCUUCACUGGUCUCAAUGGAUGUACCUAUUUUGGAGAUUUCCUGGAAAGGGAAUCAUACAAUAUGUGACCUUCUGGCCAGGCAUGGUGGCCCACGCCUGUAGUCCCAGCACUUUGGGAGACUGAGGCGGAAGGAUUUCUUCAGCCCAGGAGUUUGAGACCAGCCUGUGCAAAAUAGGGAGACCCUGCCUCUACAAAAAAUACAAAAAUUAGCCAGGUGUGGUGGCACGCACCUGUAGUACCAGCUACUGGGGAGGCUGAGGUGAGAGAAUCAUUGAGCCUGGGAGGCAGAUGUUGCAAUGAGCCGAGAUCACACCACUGCACUCCAGCCUGGGCAACAGAGCAAGAACCUGUCUCAAAAAAAAAAAAAAAAAA